GGCCUCCUGUCCCGCGACGGUUCCUCGUCGACGAGGAUCAAAAGGGAACGCGGUGAGGGUGUGAGCCCGAGGCCGCGGCUGCCCCCGCAACUGUGAGCGGCGAGCCCCUCAUCAGCACGUCACUGGGCCUGUCCGGCCUGGGAAGACGAUGAGAGGGCGGUGACCCGCGAGCCAGGAGACCUGCCGUCAGUCGUGGUCACAC
rnacentral:ncRNA from 2 species